rnacentral:rRNA from 7 species
CUCCUAAAGAGUAACGGAGGAGCACGAAGGUUGGCUAAUCCUGGUCGGACAUCAGGAGGUUAGUGCAAUGGCAUAAGCCAGCUUGACUGCGAGCGUGACGGCGCGAGCAGGUGCGAAAGCAGGUCAUAGUGAUCCGGUGGUUCUGAAUGGAAGGGCCAUCGCUCAACGGAUAAAAGGUACUCCGGGGAUAACAGGCUGAUACCGCCCAAGAGUUCAUAUCGACGGCGGUGUUUGGCACCUCGAUGUCGGCUCAUCACAUCCUGGGGCUGAAGUAGGUCCCAAGGGUAUGGCUGUUCGCCAUUUAAAGUGGUACGCGAGCUGGGUUUAGAACGUCGUGAGACAGUUCGGUCCCUAUCUGCCGUGGGCGCUGGAGAACUGAGGGGGGCUGCUCCUAGUACGAGAGGACCGGAGUGGACGCAUCACUGGUGUUCGGGUUGUCAUGCCAAUGGCACUGCCCGGUAGCUAAAUGCGGAAGAGAUAAGUGCUGAAAGCAUCUAAGCACGAAACUUGCCCCGA